rnacentral:lncRNA from 1 species
GUCUAAAGAGAAUGACAUUUUGCCAAGGCCUAACUCUAUUGGGUAUGGCAGCAGUACUUCAUCCUCUGGCAGUCAGUCAUCAUCCUCUUCUGGCCGAGGGUCCCUCUCUCUCAACGGCUACCUUAGUGGCCAGUAUUGGAAAGGGACCAAAGGUCCUAUGGAAUCUCCAGCUCCCAGGACUUUGGAGGAGGAUGAUCUGGAUAAUGAAAAUGAGACGCAUUUGCUAAUUGGCAGCUCUGAAUCCUCUGGGGCCAGUGUGAGUGACUUUAGCAGCUCAGACCACAGCUGCCUGUCUGCGAUUGGUGGGGAGGUGGAGGACUCGUCGUCUGUGUCCUCAACAUUUCCCUUCAAAGCUGGCCAUGUCCAUAACACACAGCCCAGUUGCCAGAAGUGUGGUUCUCCUGAGCUGGGCCCAAAAAGACUCCCAACUGCUCCAAAUGCACAGAUUCUGUCAGUUUGGAAAAGUUAAAAGGAAGACAUGGACUGAAGUCUGAAAUGUCUGUUCAGCUGGUGACUUUGGGCCCACCAAAACUAAAGGUCUC